UGCCAGCAGCCGCGGUAAGACGUGGGGGGCCAGCGUUGCUCGGAAUUACUGGGUGUAAAGGGUUCGUAGGCGGUGUGGCAAGUCGGGAGUGAAAUCUCUGGGCUUAACUCAGAGUCUGCUUCCGAAACUGCUGUGCUUGAGUGUGGGAGAGGCGCGUGGAAUUGCAGGUGUAGCGGUGAAAUGCGUAGAUAUCUGCAGGAACACCCGUGGCGAAAGCGGCGCGCUGGACCACUACUGACGCUGAGGAACGAAAGCUAGGGGAGCAAACAGGAUUAGAUACCCUGGUAGUCCUAGCCCUAAACGAUCAGGACUUGGGGUGCCGCACGUUCGUGCGUCGUCCCGGAGCUAACGCGUUAAGUCCUGCACCUGGGGAGUACGGUCGCAAGACUGAAACUCAAAGGAAUUGACGGGGGCCCGCACAAG
rnacentral:rRNA from 1 species